GUCAAUUCAUUUGAGUUUCACGCUUGCGCGCGUACUCCCCAGGCGGGAUACUUAACGCGUUAGCUACGGCACAGCUUGGGUCGAUACAAGCUACACCUAGUAUCCAUCGUUUACGGCUAGGACUACUGGGGUAUCUAAUCCCAUUCGCUCCCCUAGCUUUCGUCCCUCAGUGUCAGUUUUGGCCUAGCAGAGCGCUUUCGCCACCGGUGUUCUUCCCAAUCUCUACGCAUUUCACCGCUACACUGGGAAUUCCCUCUGCCCCUACCAUACUCUAGUCUCUCAGUUUUCACGGCUUGUCUCUGGUUGAGCCAGAACCUUUAACCGCAAACUUGAUAAACCACCUGCGGACGCUUUACGCCCAAUCAUUCCGGAUAACGCUUGCAUCCUCCGUAUUACCGCG
rnacentral:misc_RNA from 1 species